AUUGAACGCUGGCGGCAGGCCUAACACAUGCAAGUCGAGCGGUAGCACAGAGAGCUUGCUCUCGGGUGACGAGCGGCGGACGGGUGAGUAAUGUCUGGGAAACUGCCCGAUGGAGGGGGAUAACUACUGGAAACGGUAGCUAAUACCGCAUAACGUCGCAAGACCAAAGAGGGGGACCUUCGGGCCUCUCACUAUCGGAUGAACCCAGAUGGGAUUAGCUAGUAGGCGGGGUAAUGGCCCACCUAGGCGACGAUCCCUAGCUGGUCUGAGAGGAUGACCAGCCACACUGGAACUGAGACACGGUCCAGACUCCUACGGGAGGCAGCAGUGGGGAAUAUUGCACAAUGGGCGCAAGCCUGAUGCAGCCAUGCCGCGUGUAUGAAGAAGGCCUUCGGGUUGUAAAGUACUUUCAGGGGGGAGGAAGGCGGUGAGGUUAAUAACCUCGCCGAUUGACGUUACCCGCAGAAGAAGCACCGGCUAACUCCGUGCCAGCAGCCGCCGUAA
rnacentral:rRNA from 1 species